GACGAACGCUGGCGGCGUGCCUAAUACAUGCAAGUUGAGCGCUGAAGGUUGGUACUUGUACCAACUGGAUGAGCAGCGAACGGGUGAGUAACGCGUGGGGAAUCUGCCUUUGAGCGGGGGACAACAUUUGGAAACGAAUGCUAAUACCGCAUAAAAACUUUAAACACAAGUUUUAAGUUUGAAAGAUGCAAUUGCAUCACUCAAAGAUGAUCCCGCGUUGUAUUAGCUAGUUGGUGAGGUAAAGGCUCACCAAGGCGAUGAUACAUAGCCGGCCUGAGAGGGUGAUCGGCCACAUUGGGACUGAGACACGGCCCAAACUCCUACGGGAGGCAGCAGUAGGGAAUCUUCGGCAAUGGACGAAAGUCUGACCGAGCAACGCCGCGUGAGUGAAGAAGGUUUUCGGAUCGUAAAACUCUGUUGGUAGAGAAGAACGUUGGUGAGAGUGGAAAGCUCAUCAAGUGACGGUAACUACCCAGAAAGGGACGGCUAACUACGUG
rnacentral:rRNA from 1 species